UUGUGAUUGCUGGUUUGAUCGGAAUAUUCAUUUGGUGUUGGAGGAAAACGAGCGCCAAUCGACAAAUGAAAAUACCGAUCAUAGCCAACCACUGUUUGCGUUUUAAAAAAAAAUAUUGCAAACAAGGUAAAAAGUAAUAGAGUCGACUCUAUAUUAAGUUUGCGAAAUUACUAUGAAAGCAAAAAUUCUCCUGAGGAUUGCAAUCCUCUUCAAUAUUGGAAGAUGAUAAAUGACAACGAAGGCUUAAAAAUUUGCGCAAAAAAACUGUUGUGUAUUCAAGUCACUUCGGUGGAGAGCGAGAAAAUUUUUAGUAAAGCUGGCAUUGUGAUCAGUGACAAAAGAUCCUCACUUGAACCGUCGACUGCAGACAAAAUAAUUUUCAUGAGCAGGAACAAUUGGCUUAUAAACAAUUGAAAUUUGUUACAAAAGGAACUAUGAAUUUGAUCUCUUAUGAUAUAUGAAAAAGUGA